rnacentral:rRNA from 1 species
GAUGAACGCUGGCGGCGUGCCUAAUACAUGCAAGUCGAGCGAACGGACGAGAAGCUUGCUUCUCUUAUGUUAGCGGCGGACGGGUGAGUAACACGUGGAUAACCUACCUAUAAGACUGGGAUAACUUCGGGAAACCGGAGCUAAUACCGGAUAAUAUUUUGAACCGCAUGGUUCAAAAGUGAAAGACGGUCUUGCUGUCACUUAUAGAUGGAUCCGCGCUGCAUUAGCUAGUUGGUAAGGUAACGGCUUACCAAGGCAACGAUGCAUAGCCGACCUGAGAGGGUGAUCGGCCACACUGGAACUGAGACACGGUCCAGACUCCUACGGGAGGCAGAAGUAGGGAAUCUUCCGCAAUGGGCGGAAGCCUGACGGAGAAACGCCGCGUGAGUGAUGAAGGUCCUCGGAUCGUAAAACUCUGUUAUUAGGGAAGAACAUAUGUGUAAGUAACUGUGCAAAUAUUGACGGUACCUAAUCAGAAAGCCACGGCUAACUACGUG